UACGUAGGGAGCAAGCAUUGUCCGGAAUCAUUGGGCGUAAAGCGCGCGUAGGCGGCCCCGUAAGUCCGCUGUGAAAGUCAAAGGCUCAACCUUUGAAAGCCGGUGGAUACUGUGGGGCUAGAGUACGGAAGAGGCGAGUGGAAUUCCUGGUGUAGCGGUGGAAUGCGCAGAUAUCGAGAGGAACACCUGCGGCGAAGGCGGGUUGCUGGGCUGACACUGACGCUGAUGCGCGAAAGCCAGGGGAGCGAACGGG
rnacentral:rRNA from 1 species